AUGGACAUUUUCACAUAUGGUCACCUCAGCUUUUUGAUAUUUCUGCUUUGGAUCAAAGGUCUAACCGAUGCCAAGGAUGUCACACAAACUCCCAUGCUGUGGGAACAACAGGGUAAUAAUGCAACAAUGGACUGCAGCCAUACCAAGGGUGCUUCCUAUUUCCAGAUGUACUGGUACAGACAGCUUCCAGGAGAAAAUAUGGAACUGAUUGUGUUCACGACAACAGCCAAAAAAUACGAUCAUGACUUUGGAAAAUUCAAAAAAGAGAAAUACUCAGCCACAAAGACUGAGGCUCGUGAUGGGACAUUUACAGUGAAGAACCUGCAGCCAAAAGACAGUGGCUGGUAUUUCUGUGCCGUCAGUGAGCACAGUGAUACAGACUCAUGUGAAAGCUGAACAAAAACCUCACUGAAUGGUUGGCACAAGUGUUGCAAUUAUUUCCUGUACUGUAGGGGGACCUCAAGUACAACUACAGAUCAGAGGAUCAUAUGAAGGUCUUCAUCUUCCCACCACACACACAUUUAAGUUUUGGUUCCUCUGAACAGGAUGAUGAUCACAGCUGGCUGGAUAAAACUCUCUUCAAUGCUCUGUUUGCAUAUAUGAAGCUUCCACAUAAAUGACGGCAUGAAAAACCAUUCAUAGAAAAUUAUAAACUCAUAUUCACAGGCUCAUUAAGUCAUUCAGUAGAUACAAACAAAAUUAAUCAGUAAAAUAAAUAAAGAUAUAUUUAGUUACAGUUUUAAAUGACCGGUUAAUGAUAUGACAUACAGAACCAUAUACACACACACUGAAAUUACUGCCAACCAUUAAGUUAAAAAAAACAAAAUAAAACAAACAAACAUAUUUCACUCAAAGACAGCCCA
rnacentral:lncRNA from 1 species